rnacentral:rRNA from 1 species
AACGAACGCUGGCGGCAUGCCUAACACAUGCAAGUCGAACGAGACCUUCGGGUCUAGUGGCGCACGGGUGCGUAACGCGUGGGAACCUGCCCUUAGGUUCGGAAUAACUCCCCGAAAGGGGUGCUAAUACCGGAUAAUGUCUUCGGACCAAAGAUUUAUCGCCUUUGGAUGGGCCCGCGUUGGAUUAGCUAGUUGGUAGGGUAAAAGCCUACCAAGGCGACGAUCCAUAGCUGGUCUGAGAGGAUGAUCAGCCACACUGGGACUGAGACACGGCCCAGACUCCUACGGGAGGCAGCAGUGGGGAAUAUUGGACAAUGGGCGAAAGCCUGAUCCACCAAUGCCGCGUGAGUGAUGAAGGCCUUAGGGUUGUAAAGCUCUUUUACCCGGGAUGAUAAUGACAGUACCGGGAGAAUAAGCGCCGGCUAACUCCGUG